UACGUAGGGGGCUAGCGUUGUCCGGAUUUAUUGGGCGUAAAGCGCGUGUAGGCGGUCCGGUAAGUCUGCUGUGAAAGUCGGGGGCUCAACCCUCGGAUGCCGGUGGAUACUGUCGGGCUUGAGUACGGAAGAGGCGAGUGGAAUUCCUGGUGUAGCGGUGAAAUGCGCAGAUAUCAGGAGGAACACCAAUUGCGAAGGCAGCUCGCUGGGACGUUACUGACGCUGAGACGCGAAAGCGUGGGGAGCAAACAGG
rnacentral:rRNA from 1 species